ACCAAGGCGACGAUCUGUAGCUGGUCUGAGAGGACGAUCAGCCACACUGGRACUGAGACACCGGYCCAGACUCCUACGGGAGGCAGCAGUGGGGAAUUUUGGACAAUGGGCGCAAGCCUGAUCCAGCCAUGCCGCGUGAGUGAAGAAGGCCUUCGGGUUGUAAAGCUCUUUCGCWWGGRAAGAAAACUUACUCGCUAAUACCGGGUGAGGAUGACGGUACCUUGAUAAGAAGCACCGGCUAACUAC
rnacentral:rRNA from 1 species